rnacentral:lncRNA from 1 species
GUGGGGCUCUCUAGUGCGGCGGCUCCUCUGGCUCACAUUGCGGGUUGGGUGUUUUGCUUCGGUUAACAUGUAGAGAAGGAAACUGUGAUCAUAAUAGUGAAAAAAUUACAUCGAACGAGAAUCAGGAAGGGCCUCAUCAUAGGCAUUUUCUGAAACACCCCGCGGCGGCGGUGCGGAGCUUUGGCAGCAUUUUUCAGCCAUUAACCGAUUCUUUCACUCCAAUUUGGCCAUGGGUGGGUUUAAAAUUGAAUUUCGUGCAAGAGGACAAAUUUUUACCUUGUUUGGUGGUUGGAAAUUGCUUCGGUGCGGCGGCGGGUGGCGGCGGUCGACUCCCCGGCGGCUGGAUUGUCUUCUCCGGUGAGGGGCUCUGCCGACUAGGGUUAGGGUUUGUUCGUGGAUCCACUUUUGAUCUGAGUUGUCAAUCACUUUUAAUCUGGACCAUCCGAUCAUGAUUAAGUAGUGAGUGAAUCUAAACCGUUCAUCGCAUUUCAAUCUGGGUUGUCCGUGCGUGAAUCAAUCUGGACUGUCUGUGCGCAAUGCAAUCUAGGCCAUCCAUGCGCGUUUUGAAUCUGGGUCGUCCGUGUGCGUGGGAACGGAUCUCAGCCUUUUGAUCGUGCGCACGCGGAUCGCCCACAAAAUUCUCCCCGCGUGGCCUCCUGCAUCAGCGCCUCUGCCACUUGGUGCGUCCUGGUUGGUCAGGGCUGCCAACCGGGCAUCUAACAUAAUGCAAUUUUUCUAAAUUAUAUUUUGACCCCCAAUUUCUGAUUUUUCUUUCAAAAAUACCCCCAGAACCCAAAUUUUCACUCCUUUUUCUCAAAAUUUUUUUUAAUUAAAUCCUUAACUAAUUUUUCACCCUUUUUAUUAUUAUUAUUAUUAUUUUUUCAUUAAAUCAAAUUAAAAUAAAAUAAUUUAAAUUAAAUUCAAUUAAUAAAUAAUUAUAUUUAUUAAAAAAUAAAAUAAAGUAAAAUAAAAUAAAAUAAAUGUUGGGUGUUACGUAUCUCAUUUCUACAACUAUUCUAGUUACCAAAGUGAUCAUUCAAUUUAACUUUUCUUUGUUUUGUCUAUUUGAUUAAUUAUAUAAUUUCAUGAAUAAUACUUUCUUAUCGUUUUAUAUUAAUCUUGCUUUAAUUAAUAAUUUCUUUUUAAUUUAUUUUAUCCAUUAUUCAUUCAAUUCUAAAAGAAAUCAUUACAAAUAUUCUUUUCUUAUUUUCUUAAAUUAUUUUCUUAUAUCAUCUUUUUUAUUCAAAAUAAAAUUUAUUAAUUUGUUAACAUAUUUAUUAAAUCAAAAUGAUUUCCAAAAUUUAUUCCUUUUACCUAUGUAUUAUAGAUUAUGGCUAAUUUA